ACCAUAUAGUAAGGGAUAACAGUUGGAAACGACUGCUAAUACCAUAUACGCCCUUAGGGGGAAAGAUUUAUCGCUAUAUGAUGAGCCCGCGUAAGAUUAGCUAGUUGGUGAGGUAAUGGCUCACCAAGGCUACGAUCUUUAGCUGGUCUGAGAGGAUGAUCAGCCACACUGGAACUGAGACACGGUCCAGACUCCUACGGGAGGCAGCAGUGGGGAAUAUUGGACAAUGGGCGCAAGCCUGAUCCAGCCAUGCCGCGUGAAUGAUGAAGGCCUUAGGGUUGUAAAGUUCUUUCGCUAUCGAGGAUAAUGACUGUAGAUAGAUAAGAAGCCCCGGCUAACUUCGUGCCAGCAGCCGCGGUAAUACGAAGGGGGCUAGCGUUGUUCGGAAUCACUGGGCGUAAAGCGCGCGUAGGCGGCUAUUCAAGUCAGAGGUGAAAUCCCAGAGCUCAACUUUGGAACUGCCUUUGAAACUGUAUAGCUGGAGUGUUGGAGGGGAUAGCGGAAUUCCUAGUGUAGAGGUGAAAUUCGUAGAUACUAGGAGGAACACCGGUGGCGAAGGCGGCUAUCUGGACAACAACUGACGCUGAGGCGCGAAAGCGUGGGUAUCAAACAGGAUUAGAUACCCUGGUAGUCCACGCUGUAAACGAUGAGUGCUAGCUGUCGGGCCCUUAGGGUUCGGUGGCGCUGCUAACGCAUUAAGCACUCCGCCUGGGGAGUACGGUCGCAAGAUUAAAACUCAAAGGAAUUGACGG
rnacentral:rRNA from 1 species